ensembl:snoRNA SNORA62 Small nucleolar RNA SNORA62/SNORA6 family
CUUACAUACUAUCAAAGCUAAGGUGGAGGCCAGUCUUGGCCAGUGAACUUCUGGGUGUUUGAAGUAUGUUAUAAUAUGGUAGGAUUUUCUCCAGUGGAGUUUGCCUGUGUGACUGGAAUUUGACAGUACUCGCUGCCACACAC